AAAUUUGGACAAUGGGGGAAACCCUGAUCCAGCCAUCCCGCGUGUAUGAUGAAGGCCUNCGGGUUNUNAAGUACUCUUGGCAGAGNGGAAAAGGUAUCUCCUAAUACGAGAUACUGCUGACGGUAUCUGCAGAAUAAGCACCGGCUAACUACGUGCCAGCAGCCGCGGUAAUACGUAGGGUGCAAGCGUUAAUCGGAAGUACUGGGCGUAAAGCGUGUGUACGCGGUUCGGAAAGAAAGAUGUGAAAUCGCAGGGCUCAAUCUUGGAACCGCAUUUAUAACUGACGAGCUAGAGUAUGUCAGAGGGGGGUAGAAUUCCACGUGUAGCAGUGAAAUGCGUAGAUAUGUGGAGGAAUACCGAUGGCGAAGGCAGCCCCCUGGGAUAAUACUGACGCUCAGACACGAAAGCGUGGGGAGCAAAC
rnacentral:rRNA from 1 species